rnacentral:rRNA from 2 species
GUCUGCGUGGAGCCAACCUUGAAAUACCACCCUUUAAUGUUUGAUGUUCUAACGUGGACCCGUAAUCCGGGUUGCGGACAGUGUCUGGUGGGUAGUUUGACUGGGGCGGUCUCCUCCUAAAGAGUAACGGAGGAGCACGAAGGUUGGCUAAUCCUGGUCGGACAUCAGGAGGUUAGUGCAAUGGCAUAAGCCAGCUUGACUGCGAGCGUGACGGCGCGAGCAGGUGCGAAAGCAGGUCAUAGUGAUCCGGUGGUUCUGAAUGGAAGGGCCAUCGCUCAACGGAUAAAAGGUACUCCGGGGAUAACAGGCUGAUACCGCCCAAGAGUUCAUAUCGACGGCGGUGUUUGGCACCUCGAUGUCGGCUCAUCACAUCCUGGGGCUGAAGUAGGUCCCAAGGGUAUGGCUGUUCGCCAUUUAAAGUGGUACGCGAGCUGGGUUUAGAACGUCGUGAGACAGUUCGGUCCCUAUCUGCCGUGGGCGCUGGAGAACUGAGGGGGGCUGCUCCUAGUACGAGAGGACCGGAGUGGACGCAUCACUGGUGUUCGGGUUGUCAUGCCAAUGGCACUGCCCGGUAGCUAAAUGCGGAAGAGAUAAGUGCUGAAAGCAUCUAAGCACGAAACUUGCCCCGAGAUGAGUUCUCCCUGAGACUUAGAGUCUCCUGAAGGAACGUUGAAGACGACGACGUUGAUAGGCCGGGUGUGUAAGCGCAGCGAUGCGUUGAGCUAACCGGUACUAAUGAACCGUGAGGCUUAACCUUACAACGCCGAAG